CAGAGUAGAAGCUGCGCCGGUCCGCUGCUCUUUUUGCCCUUUGGGUCUGUGAUUUCUGUUCAGCUAAAAAUAGAUACGAAAAGAAAGCCCGCUCCUAUGCUCCAGUUCGCCUUUCCAGGAAUGCCCCCAAUCUUACAGCCGGUACUGCUGCUCGUGGCCCUAGAGAUGACACCAUGCAUGUGACAUGUGACCCUCGCCUCGAGAAAACACCAACAGUUUUGAGACCGGACGUCUCAGAAUCUGACAUCUUCAAAAGGUUCAUCAGAACUCCUCUACAUUUGCGAACACUCUCAAAGCAAACAAGCGUCUCGAAUGUGUGGUUUGAGAAGAAAUUUUUAAGGAGGAAUCUUCCCCUAGUGCCUGGUGCGCAUUUUAAAUGAAUUGAAGGCUAUUGACUGAUACUGAGG
rnacentral:lncRNA from 1 species